rnacentral:tRNA from 1 species
AAGGCGCUAGUAAAACGGACGAUUACACUGCUUUGUCAGGGCAGAAUUGUGGGUUAAACCCCCGCGCGCCUUA